rnacentral:rRNA from 1 species
UACGAAGGGGGCUAGCGUUGCUCGGAAUCACUGGGCGUAAAGCGCACGUAGGCGGAUCUUUUAAGUCAGGGGUGAAAUCCUGGAGCUCAACUCCAGAACUGCCUUUGAUACUGGGGAUCUCGAGUCCGGGAGAGGUGAGUGGAACUGCGAGUGUAGAGGUGAAAUUCGUAGAUAUUCGCAAGAACACCAGUGGCGAAGGCGGCUCACUGGCCCGGUACUGACGCUGAGGUGCGAAAGCGUGGGGAGCAAACAGGG